CUGAGUACGGCGGAACACGUGAAAUUCCGUCGGAAUCCGGGAGGACCAUCUCCCAAGGCUAAAUACUCCCUAGUGACCGAUAGUGAACCAGUACCGUGAGGGAAAGGUGAAAAGCACCCCGGAAGGGGAGUGAAACAGUUCCUGAAACCGUGUGCCUACAAGUAGUUAGAGCCCGUUAAUGGGUGAUAGCGUGCCUUUUGUAGAAUGAACCGGCGAGUUACGAUUUGUUGCAAGGUUAAGCGGAAAAAGCGGAGCCGUAGCGAAAGCGAGUCUGAAUAGGGCGCAUAAGUAACAGGUCGUAGACCCGAAACCAGGUGAUCUACCCAUGUCCAGGAUGAAGGUAAGGUAAUACUUACUGGAGGUCCGAACCCACGCACGUUGAAAAGUGCGGGGAUGAGGUGUGGGUAGCGGAGAAAUUCCAAUCGAACUUGGAGAUAGCUGGUUCUCUCCGAAAUAGCUUUAGGGCUAGCCUCGAGGUAAAGAGUCAUGGAGGUAGAGCACUGUUUGGACUAGGGGCCCUUCUCGGGUUACCGAAUUCAGAUAAACUCCGAAUGCCAUGUACUUAUACUCGGGAGUCAGACUGCGAGUGAUAAGAUCCGUAGUCGAAAGGGAAACAGCCCAGACCACCAGUUAAGGUCCCCAAAUAUAUGUUAAGUGGAAAAGGAUGUGGGGUUGCUUAGACAACCAGGAUGUUGGCUUAGAAGCAGCCACCAUUGAAAGAGUGCGUAAUAGCUCACUGGUCGAGUGACCCCGCGCCGAAAAUGUACCGGGGCUAAACAUAUUACCGAAACUGUGGAUGAACCUCUUUAGAGGUUCGUGGUAGGAGAGCGUUCUAAGGGCGGUGAAGUCAGACCGGAAGGACUGGUGGAGCGCUUAGAAGUGAGAAUGCCGGUAUGAGUAGCGAAAGAAGGGUGAGAAUCCCUUCCACCGAAUAUCUAAGGUUUCCUGAGGAAGGCUCGUCCGCUCAGGGUUAGUCGGGACCUAAGCCGAGGCCGAUAGGCGUAGGCGAUGGACAACAGGUAGAGAUUCCUGUACCAGUGCUAAUUGUUUAACCGAUGGGGUGACACAGAAGGAUAGGGAAUCGCACGAAUGGAAAUGUGCGUCCAAGCAGUGAGUGUGAGAAGUAGGCAAAUCCGCUUCUCGCGAAGCAUGAGCUGUGAUGGGGAAGGAAAUUAAGUACGGAAGUUCCUGAUUUCACGCUGUCAAGAAAAGCCUCUAGGAAGAGUAGUACUGCCCGUACCGCAAACCGACACAGGUAGAUGAGGAGAGAAUCCUAAGGUGAGCGAGAGAACUCUCGUUAAGGAACUCGGCAAAAUGACCCCGUAACUUCGGGAGAAGGGGUGCUCUAUUAGGGUGCAAGCCCGAGAGAGCCGCAGUGAAUAGGCCCAGGCGACUGUUUAGCAAAAACACAGGUCUCUGCAAAACCGUAAGGUGACGUAUAGGGGCUGACGCCUGCCCGGUGCUGGAAGGUUAAGAGGAGUGCUUAGCUUCGGCGAAGGUACGAAUUGAAGCCCCAGUAAACGGCGGCCGUAACUAUAACGGUCCUAAGGUAGCGAAAUUCCUUGUCGGGUAAGUUCCGACCCGCACGAAAGGCGCAACGAUCUGGGCACUGUCUCAACGAGAGACUCGGUGAAAUUAUAGUACCUGUGAAGAUGCAGGUUACCCGCGACAGGACGGAAAGACCCCGUGGAGCUUUACUGCAACCUGAUAUGGAAUGUUUGUACCGCUUGUACAGGAUAGGUAGGAGCCGAAGAGACGUGUGCGCUAGCAUACGAGGAGGCAAUGGUGGGAUACUACCCUGGCUGUAUGACCAUUCUAACCCGCCACGCUUAGCGCGUGGGGAGACAGUGUCAGGUGGGCAGUUUGACUGGGGCGGUCGCCUCCUAAAGAGUAACGGAGGCGCCCAAAGGUUCCCUCAGAAUGGAUGGAAAUCAUUCGCAGAGUGUAAAGGCACAAGGGAGCUUGACUGCGAGACUGACAAGUCGAGCAGGGACGAAAGUCGGGCUUAGUGAUCCGGUGGUUCCGCAUGGAAGGGCCAUCGCUCAACGGAUAAAAGCUACCCCGGGGAUAACAGGCUUAUCUCCCCCAAGAGUCCACAUCGACGGGGAGGUUUGGCACCUCGAUGUCGGCUCGUCGCAUCCUGGGGCUGUAGUCGGUCCCAAGGGUUGGGCUGUUCGCCCAUUAAAGCGGCACGCGAGCUGGGUUCAGAACGUCGUGAGACAGUUCGGUCCCUAUCCGUCGCGGGCGCAGGAAAUUUGAGAGGAGCUGUCCUUAGUACGAGAGGACCGGGAUGGACACACCGCUGGUGUACCAGUUGUUCCGCCAGGAGCAUCGCUGGGUAGCUAUGUGUGGCAGGGAUAAACGCUGAAAGCAUCUAAGCGUGAAGCCCCCCUCAAGAUGAGAUUUCCCAU
rnacentral:rRNA from 1 species